GUUGCUGGAGGUAUCAGAAGUGCGAAUGCUGACAUAAGUAACGAUAAAGCGGGUGAAAAGCCCGCUCGCCGGAAGACCAAGGGUUCCUGUCCAACGUUAAUCGGGGCAGGGUGAGUCGACCCCUAAGGCGAGGCCGAAAGGCGUAGUCGAUGGGAAACGGGUUAAUAUUCCCGUACUUGGUGUUACUGCGAAGGGGGGACGGAGAAGGCUAUGUUGGCCGGGCGACGGUUGUCCCGGUUUAAGCGUGUAGGUGUGUGUUCCAGGUAAAUCCGGUUCACUUUAACACUGAGGCGUGAUGACGAGGCACUACGGUGCUGAAGUAACAAAUGCCCUGCUUCCAGGAAAAGCCUCUAAGCAUCAGGUAACAUCAAAUCGUACCCCAAACCGACACAGGUGGUCAGGUAGAGAAUACCAAGGCGCUUGAGAGAACUCGGGUGAAGGAACUAGGCAAAAUGGUGCCGUAACUUCGGGAGAAGGCACGCUGACAC
rnacentral:rRNA from 1 species